rnacentral:rRNA from 1 species
UACGUAGGGCGCAAGCGUUGUCCGGAAUUAUUGGGCGUAAAGAGCUCGUAGGCGGCUUGUCACGUCGGGGUGUGAAAGCCCGGGGCUUAACCCCGGGUCUGCAUUCGAUACGGGCUGGCUAGAGUGUGGUAGGGGAGAUCGGAAUUCCUGGUGUAGCGGUGAAAUGCGCAGAUAUCAGGAGGAACACCGGUGGCGAAGGCGGAUCUCUGGGCCAUUACUGACGCUGAGGAGCGAAAGCGUGGGGAGCGAACAGG